UACGGAGGGUGCAAGCGUUGUCCGGAUUUAUUGGGGUUAAAGGGUGCGUAGGCGGCCUUAUAAGUCAGUGGUGAAACCCUUGGGCUUAACCCAAGGAGUGCCAUUGAUACUGUGAGGCUUGGGUUAUCUCUGGGCGGGCGGAAUGGAUGGUGUAGCGGUGAAAUGCAUAGAUAUCAACCAGAACGCCGACAGCGAAGGCAGCUCGCUGGGGAUAUACCGACGCUGAGGCACGAUAGCGUGGGGAUCAAACAGG
rnacentral:rRNA from 1 species